rnacentral:rRNA from 1 species
AGAGUUUGAUCCUGGCUCAGGACGAACGCUGGCGGCGUGCUUAACACAUGCAAGUCAGGGAGAAGGGAGUAGCAAUACUCUGAGUAAACCGGCGAACGGGUGAGUAAUACGUAGGCAACUUACCUUGUGAACGGGGAUAACUUCGCGAAAGCGGUGCUAAUACCCGAUGAAGUUCUGAUAUAGCAUUAUAUUAGAAUUAAAGGUCCCAAAAGGAUGUCACAAGAUGGGCCUGCGUCCCAUUAGAUAGUUGGCGGGGUAAUGGCCCACCAAGUCGACGAUGGGUAGCUGGUCUGAGAGGACGAUCAGCCACACUGGAACUGAGACACGGUCCAGACUCCUACGGGAGGCAGCAGUGGGGAAUUUUGCGCAAUGGGGGAAACCCUGACGCAGCAACGCCGCGUGAGUGAUGAAGGCUUUCGGGUCGUAAAGCUCUGUCAGAAGGGAAGAAAUGUAGGUGGCUAAUAUCCAUUCUACUUGACGGUACCUUCAAAGGAAGCACCGGCUAACUCCGUGCCAGCAGCCGCGGUAAUACGGAGGGUGCGAGCGUUGUUCGGAAUUAUUGGGCGUAAAGCGCGUGUAGGCGGUUUAUUAAGUCUGAUGUGAAAGCCCUGGGCUCAACCUGGGAAGUGCAUUGGAUACUGGUAGACUUGAGUACGGGAGAGGGUAGUGGAAUUCCUAGUGUAGGAGUGAAAUCCGUAGAUAUUAGGAGGAACACCGGUGGCGAAGGCGGCUGCCUGGACCGAUACUGACGCUGAGACGCGAAAGCGUGGGGAGCAAACAGGAUUAGAUACCCUGGUAGUCC